GCUGCCCCAAGAGACACUGUGGGUGUGGCUGCUGUGUCACACGUGCGUCAGUAGGAGAGGAGAGGAGAGAAGCCAUGUCUAUGCUCUGUGUUUUGACCUGUGCACAUCUGAGAUGACCUCCAGU
rnacentral:snoRNA from 1 species